CAUAGGCAGUGGCUUGGUUAAGGGAACCCAUUGGAGCCGUAGUGAAAACGAGUCUUCAUAGGGCAAUUGUCACUGCUUAUGGACCCGAACCUGGGUGAUCUAUCCAUGACCAAGAUGAAGCUUGGGUGAAACUAAAUAGAGGUUCGAACCGACUGAUGUUGAAGAAUUAACGGAUGAAUUGUGAACACUAACCUCAUUUAACAAAUUAUAUAUGAAUACAAACUUAGCCUCUAG
rnacentral:ncRNA from 1 species